rnacentral:rRNA from 1 species
AAGCGGUACGUGAGCUGGGUUCAGAACGUCGCGAGACAGUUCGGUCCCUAUCUGCGGUGGGCGUAGGAAACUUGAGGGAGGCUGCCUUUAGUACGAGAGGACCGAGGCGGAUGAACCUCUUGUGAUCCAGUUGUCUCGCCAGAGGCAUAGCUGGGUAGCGACGUUCAGUAGAGAUAAGCGCUGAAAGCAUAUAAGCGCGAAGCUCGUCCCAAGACUAGGUUUCCCUGAAGGGCACUCAAAGACUAUGAGUUUGAUAGGUCGG